rnacentral:misc_RNA from 1 species
UUAAGUUCAGCGGGUAUCCCCGCCUGAUUCGAGGCCAAACUCGUGAUGACCGGCGGCCUCCGCUGGGCCCGGACAGCGAUCGACUUGCUACGCUGCCGGGGACAGGAAGGCGCCCUAAGUGUUUCGGCGCAUCCGCGGACGGAUGGCGCCAACGCAAGGCAGAGCCUUAGGUUUGAAACGGCGCUCGAACAGGCGUGCCC